UUGCUCACAUAGUCAGAACAAAAAGAAAGAAACACAAAAUGUAUGGAUAAACUAAGUUAAUAAGCACUUUAUUAUUUAAUUCUAAUCUACAGUGCUGGCAUAAUUUUACCUGCUUUCCCUAGUUUUCCAGUGGCCAGAGGUCUACAGGACAUAUAGUGUUCAUUUGUUAAUAGAAGGUUAAUAAUAUUAUUCCUUACAUUUACUAAUAGUAUAUAUUACAAUGAAUACUUUACUUUAGGUAUCCACUACCUGUAUUCACUUUAACUACAUUAGUAUGAUUCUUAACAUAAAGGAAUACACUCAGCAACACUUACAACACUUGAACAAGAGAGCAGUCGAUUCUGUUUGUUUUUCAUUUAUUUGAUUGGACAAGAUUGUAACCAAUCUAGAGACUACAACAGUUUUAUGUUAAGACUUAUGUGAAGUGUUGUCUUGUUGUAUAACAUAUAUAUGUUAAGAACUGUUUAUUUACCUUGAUUCAACACUGCGACAACUAUUUUGAUUGUUAUUAAGUCAACAAUAAGACUAUCUGGUUUUGAUUUCUAUUUGACAGAAUUGACACUUGAAACUAUAAAGAGGAAUAGUUUUUCCAUGAUACCUUUGUAAGUGUUGCUGAGUGUAUUCCUUUAUGUUAAGAAUCAUACUAAUGUAGUUAAAUUAUUUAUUAUUUAUUAACAGUAUUUAUAUUCCGCCCUUCUCACCCCGAAGGGGACUCAGGGGCGGAUUACAAUAAACACAUAUAUGGCAAACAUUCAAUGCCAACAGACAAACAACAUACAUAGACAGACACAGAGGCAUUUAACAUUUUUUUCCAGCUUCACGAUUCCGGCCACAGGGGGAGCUGUUGCUUCACUGUCCACUAGUGGCUGUACUUCCUCAUUCCAUUCCUCGUGUUUUGCUGGAAAAAUGUUAAAAUGCCUCUGAGUCUGUCUAAUGUAUGUUGUUUGUCUGUUGGCAUUGAAUGUUUGCCAUAUAUGUGUUUAUUGUAAUUCGCCCUGAGUCCCCUUCGGGGUGAGAAGGGUGGAAUAUAAAUACUGUAAAUAAAUAAAUAGGACUAUGGUAAAGGUAAAGAUUUCCCCUGACAUUUAGUCUAGUCGUGUCCAACUCUGGGGGGUGCUGCUCAUCUCCGUUCCUAAACCAAAGAGCCAGCUUUGUCCAUAGACACCUCCAAGGUCAUGUGGCCAGCAUGACUGCAUGGAGCACUGUUACCUUCCCCCCAAGGUGGUACCUAUUGAUCUAUUCACAUUUGCAUGUUUUUGAACUACUAGGUUGGCAGAAACUGGGGCUAACAGCAGGAGCUCACCCCGCUCUCUGGAUUUGAACCUCCAAUCUUUUGGUCAGCAAGUUCAGCAGCUCAGAGGUUUAACCCACUGCACCAUCAGCGGACCUGUAGGACUGUCUGAAAUUUACCUGUUUUUUUCAUCUUUAGAAUUGACUGUCUCUUUCUAGAUCAGGGGUCCCCAAACUAAGGCCUGGGGGCCGGAUGCGGCCCGUCGAAGCCAUUUAUCCGGCCCCACAGCACAAGGGCAGAAGGGGGUUGGGCUAAAUGACCCAAGGGGUCUCUUCCAACCCUCUUUAUUAUUAUUAUUAUUAUUAUUAUUAUUAUUAUUAUUAUUAUUAUUAUUAACAUUGAGGCUGGGUGGCCAUCUGUCAGGGGUGCUUUGCUUGUGCCUUUUGGUGCAGAAAGGCAGAAGAGGGUUGGACUAAAAGGCCCAACGGGUCUCUUCCAACCCUCUUUAU
ensembl:lncRNA